rnacentral:rRNA from 1 species
GAUCAUGGCUCAGGAUGAACGCUAGCUACAGGCUUAACACAUGCAAGUCGAGGGGCAUCAUGGAGUUGCUUGCAAACUCUGAUGGCGACCGGCGCACGGGUGAGUAACGCGUAUCCAACCUUCCCUAUAGUAGAGGAUAGCCCGGCGAAAGUCGGAUUAAUACUCUAUGUUUUCCGUUGCAGACAUCUAAGAUGGAACAAAGGCUUGCCGCUAUAGGAUGGGGAUGCGUCUGAUUAGGUAGUCGGCGGGUAACGGCCCACCGAGCCAUCGAUCAGUAGGGUUCUGAGAGGAAGGUCCCCCACAUUGGAACUGAGACACGGUCCAAACUCCUACGGGAGGCAGCAGUGAGGAAUAUUGGUCAAUGGGCGAGAGCCUGAACCAGCCAAGUAGCGUGCAGGACGACGGCCCUAUGGGUUGUAAACUGCUUUUAUGCGGGGAUAAAGUUCACUACGUGUAGUGUUUUGUAGGUACCGCAUGAAUAAGGACCGGCUAAUUCCGUGCCAGCCGCAGC